GUGCUCACUUCGGCAGCACAUAUACUAAAACUGGAACAAUACAGAGAAGAUUAGCACGGCCUCUGCGCAAGGAUGACACGCAAAUUCAUGAAACAUUCCAUAUUUUU
ensembl:snRNA U6 U6 spliceosomal RNA